AUGGAAAUGUCUUUGGCUGACUGCUGGGCCCCUGCCCCCGCCUCCCCUAUUGGGUUUGAGGGCUACGAGAAGCGCCUCGAGAUAACUUUCUCCCACGCGCCUGUCUUUGUGGACCCGUGCGGCCGUGGCCUUCGCGCCCUCUCUCGACACCAGAUCGACUCCUUCCUCGAUCUUGCACGGUGCACCAUUGUGUCCCAGCUCUCGAACAAGCAGUUUGAUUCUUAUGUGCUCUCGGAGUCGAGCCUCUUUGUGUACUCCCACAAGGUUGUCAUCAAAACCUGUGGAACAACAAAGCUCCUGCUGUCGAUUCCCCGCAUCCUUGAGCUUGCUGCGGAGCUGUCGCUGCCACUUCUUUCAGCCAAGUAUUCCCGCGGGACGUUCAUCUUCCCCGGCGCGCAGCCGGCGCCGCACCGCAGCUUCUCGGAGGAGGUGUCCGUGCUGAACGGCUUCUUUGGUGGCCUCAAGUCAGGUGGCAAUGCAUAUGUGAUGGGUGAUGCGUUCAGGCCCAAGAAGAUGUGGCACGUCUACUACGCCACGGAGGAGCCUGAGCAGCCCAUGGUGACGCUCGAGAUGUGCAUGACUCGGCUGGACGCCAGGAAGGCCGCGGUGUUCUUCAAGAACUCUGCCGACGGCGGCUGCUCCUCGGCCAAGGAGAUGACCAAGGUCUCUGGCAUCUCUGCUAUCAUCCCCGAGAUGGAGAUCUGUGACUUCGACUUCGACCCGUGCGGGUACUCGAUGAACGGCGUCUCCGGCCCUGCAGCCUCCACCAUCCACGUCACUCCUGAGGAGGGCUUCAGCUACGCGAGCUAUGAAGCGAUGAACUUCAACCCUGGCUCCCUGGUUUACAGUGACCUGAUCAAGAGGGUGCUGUCAUGCUUCCGCCCGUCAGACUUCUCCGUCGCCGUCACCAUCUUCGGUGGCCAAGGCUUCGCCAAAUCAUGGGCGGCCGGUGCGGAGGUCUGCUCCUACCUGUGCGACGAUCUCGUCGAGCAGGAGCUUCCGGGCGGUGGCCUGCUCAUGUACCAGAGCUUCAGUGCAGUUGCCCCUGGCGCCGUGUCCCCGAGGUCGACCCUGGAUGAUGGCUGGAGCAGCGACGGGAUGGAGAUGGCCGCGCAGGGCGAGGAGGCGUGCGUCUGGGGAGUGGAGAAGAAGGUGACCGAGAAAGGUGUCGCUGCCUGA
rnacentral:rRNA from 1 species